AGACCCGAAACCCGGUGAUCUAGCCAUGGGCAGGUUGAAGGUUGGGUAACACUAACUGGAGGACCGAACCGACUAAUGUUGAAAAAUUAGCGGAUGACCUGUGGCUGGGGGUGAAAGGCCAAUCAAACCGGGAGAUAGCUGGUUCUCCCCGAAAGCUAUUUAGGUAGCGCCUCGUGAAUUCAUCUCCGGGGGUAGAGCACUGUUUCGGCUAGGGGGCCAUCCCGGCUUACCAACCCGAUGCAAACUGCGAAUACCGGAGAAUGUUAUCACGGGAGACACACGGCGGGUGCUAACGUCCGUCGUGAAGAGGGAAACAACCCAGACCGCCAGCUAAGGUCCCAAAGUCAUGGUUAAGUGGGAAACGAUGUGGGAAGGCCCAGACAGCCAGGAUGUUGGCUUAGAAGCAGCCAUCAUUUAAAGAAAGCGUAAUAGCUCACUGGUCGAGUCGGCCUGCGCGGAAGAUGUAACGGGGCUAAACCAUGCACCGAAGCUGCGGCAGCGACACUCAGGUGUUGUUGGGUAGGGGAGCGUUCUGUAAGCCUGCGAAGGUGGCCUGUGAGGGUUGCUGGAGGUAUCAGAAGUGCGAAUGCUGACAUAAGUAACGAUAAAGCGGGUGAAAAGCCCGCUCGCCGGAAGACCAAGGGUUCCUGUCCAACGUUAAUCGGGGCAGGGUGAGUCGACCCCUAAGGCGAGGCCGAAAGGCGUAGUCGAUGGGAAACGGGUUAAUAUUCCCGUACUUGGUGUUACUGCGAAGGGGGGACGGAGAAGGCUAUGUUGGCCGGGCGACGGUUGUCCCGGUUUAAGCGUGUAGGUGUGUGUUCCAGGUAAAUCCGGUUCACUUUAACACUGAGGCGUGACGACGAGGCACUACGGUGCUGAAGCAACAAAUGCCCUGCUUCCAGGAAAAGCCUCUAAGCAUCAGGUAACAUCAAAUCGUACCCCAAACCGACACAGGUGGUCAGGUAGAGAAUACCAAGGCGCUUGAGAGAACUCGGGUGAAGGAACUAGGCAAAAUGGUGCCGUAACUUCGGGAGAAGGCACGCUGACAUGUAGGUGAA
rnacentral:rRNA from 1 species